AACGAACGCUGGCGGCAGGCCUAACACAUGCAAGUCGAGCGAGGACUUCGGUCCUAGCGGCGGACGGGUGAGUAACGCGUGGGAACGUGCCCUUUGCUUCGGAAUAGCCCUGGGAAACUGGGAGUAAUACCGGAUGAGCCCUUUGGGGGAAAGAUUUAUCGGCGAAGGAUCGGCCCGCGUUGGAUUAGGUAGUUGGUGGGGUAAUGGCCUACCACGCCGACGAUCCAUAGCUGGUUUGAGAGGAUGAUCAGCCACACUGGGACUGAGACACGGCCCAGACUCCUACGGGAGGGAGCAGUGGGGAAUCUUAGACAAUGGGGGAAACCCUGAUCUAGCCAUGCCGCGUGAGCGAUGAAGGCCUUAGGGUUGUAAAGCUCUUUCAGCUGGGAAGAUAAUGACGGUACCAGCAGAAGAAGCCCCGGCUAACUCCGUG
rnacentral:rRNA from 1 species